rnacentral:rRNA from 1 species
UACGUAGGCAGCGAGCGUUGUUCGGAAUUACUGGGCGUAAAGAGUGUGUAGGCGGUGCUCUAAGUUCGGUGUGAAAUCUCCCGGCUUAACUGGGAGGGUGCGCCGGAAACUGGAGUGCUCGAGCGUGGGAGAGGAAAGCGGAAUUCCUGGUGUAGCGGUGAAAUGCGUAGAGAUCGGAAAGAACACCAACGGCGAAAGCACUCUGCUGGGCCGACACUGACACUGAGAGACGAAAGCUAGGGGAGCGAAUGGG